rfam:Oryza glumipatula chromosome 5, whole genome shotgun sequence.
CGGUGUGGAAGCCACAUAAAUGAUGGACAUAUGUACUUCGGUGCCCCUGGUGCAACUUGCGUCUCCAAGCUCGUCAUGGUCAUCGGCGGGCAGCCCCUGCCCCCUGCUCCUAACACAACAUCUACCUCAUCCGUCUCCACACGACGAGCUCAAGCAUCGCCUCUAUGAGACCAUGAUAACCAAGGCAAUGAUCAGUAGUUGGUCUAAGAGGACGAUCAGCUACACUAGGACUGAAACACGACCCAGACUCCUACGGGAAGCAGCAGUGGGGAAUUUUCCGCAAUGGGCGAAAGCCUGACGGAGCAAUGCCG